rnacentral:rRNA from 1 species
AUUGAACGCUGGCGGCAUGCUUUACACAUGCAAGUCGAACGGCAGCGCGGGGCAACCUGGCGGCGAGUGGCGAACGGGUGAAUAAUACAUCGGAACGUACCCAGAAGUGGGGGAUAACGUAGCGAAAGUUACGCUAAUACCGCAUACGUUCUACGGAAGAAAGUGGGGGACCUUCGGGCCUCAUGCUUUUGGAGCGGCCGAUGUCUGAUUAGCUAGUUGGUGAGGUAAAGGCUCACCAAGGCGACGAUCAGUAGCUGGUCUGAGAGGACGACCAGCCACACUGGGACUGAGACACGGCCCAGACUCCUACGGGAGGCAGCAGUGGGGAAUUUUGGACAAUGGGCGCAAGCCUGAUCCAGCAAUGCCGCGUGAGUGAAGAAGGCCUUCGGGUUGUAAAGCUCUUUUGUCAGGGAAGAAACGGCUGAGGUUAAUACCUUUGGCUAAUGACGGUACCUGAAGAAUAAGCACCGGCUAACUACGUGCCAGCCGCCGCGGUAAUAC